AUUGAACGCUGGCGGCAGGCCUAACACAUGCAAGUCGAACGAGUGGCGGACGGGUGAGUAAUGUGUGGGAAACUGCCUGAUGGAGGGGGAUAACCACUGGAAAAGGUAGCGAAUACCGCAUACUAUCAGAUGUGCCCAUAUGGGAUUAGCUUGUUGGUGGGGUAACGGCUCACCAAGGCGACGAUCCCUAGCGGGUCUGAGAGGAGGAACAGCCACAUUGGGACUGAGACACGGCCCAGACUCCUACGGGAGGCAGCAGUGGGGAAUAUUGCACAAUGGGCGCAAGCCUUAUGCAGCCAUGCCGCGUGUAUGAAGAAGGCCUUCGGUUUGUAAAGUACUUUCAGCGGUGAGGCGUUACCCGCAGAAGAAGCACCGGCUAACUCCGUGCCAGCAGCCGCGGUAAUUC
rnacentral:rRNA from 1 species